GCAGGACAAUACUGGUGUGGAGUGGAGAGGACUUUAAGUACUGAUGUCUAUUCAGAGAUUUUGUUGCUAGUUAAACACGCUAAUAAGACCACUGAGGUUUCAACUACCAGCCCUUUUACAGCAACACCGUCAUAUUUCAGCACAACAGAACCACAUCCACAAUCCAGCAGCAUCACAAUCACAGAAAGAAAAGAAACAAUCACAGAUCAGCACAACUCCUCAGCAGGUUCAGUUGUGAUUAUCGUCACUGCGGAG